rnacentral:rRNA from 1 species
UACGGAGGGGGCUAGCGUUGUUCGGAAUUACUGGGCGUAAAGCGCGCGUAGGCGGCUUAGCAAGUUAGAGGUGAAAGCCCGAAGCUCAACUUCGGAAUUGCCUUUAAAACUGCAAAGCUAGAAUCAUGGAGAGGUUAGUGGAAUUCCGAGUGUAGAGGUGAAAUUCGUAGAUAUUCGGAAGAACACCAGUGGCGAAGGCGACUAACUGGACAUGUAUUGACGCUGAGGUGCGAAAGCGUGGGGAGCAAACAGG